rnacentral:lncRNA from 1 species
AGAGCAGCAGAGAAAUCACCGUUCCCCAGGCCUUGCCGGGACUACGAGGCAGCAGAGAGCAUUGUGGCAGGACGGUUUUUCCUUCUGAAGGGUGGUUAAUGAGCAAUGUAGGUGAAGACCCCUGAGAGAUACCUGGGCAUCCUGCCCACCCAAAUAGAAGACCGCGUUGAGAUGGCAGUCGGAGAUGGAGCCCAUGACCAGAGAGAGGGACAGAGGAGAGGAGCGCGGGGACAGUGCCGGACACAAAGUAAAAGCGCUGCCAGUUCAUUUAGGUCUGAAUGAUUUUAAGAAGGAAAAUGAGAGAGAGAAAGAAAGCAUAAUCAAAAGCCUACAUGACAAAGAGUUGACAGUCAGAUUCUGUGGUAAAUGAUUCCAGAGUCGCUGGCCUGCGGAGACGCUGAGGAAGUCCCCAGCAGACCUGAUUAAUUCCAGUCUCUCCAGCUGCCAGGGGAGCAGAGGGAAGUCACUAAGGAGCAGCCCUGUCACAACAGCCUCCAAAGGACAGAGAGUGAACCACAGAGGAAAUUCGAAUGCAUGUACAGUGGGUUCCAUUACCAGGGAGCCUGAGCUUGGGACAAGAGGAGCUCAUCACCACCAGAAAAUACUACCAACAUGCCCAAGAGUUUGUUUCCCAUACUUUUAAAGAAAAAGAAAAAUGGAUGGUUCUGAAAUCACCUGGGUUUGUUUUAUUACAUUAUAUCUUCUGGCAAGAUCAGUGAUGGCAGAUGUGAUUCAGCAAUAGAAGCAUGGCUGUACUGGAGGGGACUGACAAGAACGUUUGCAGUCGGUAGUGUUCCUCAGUACUCAUCAAUUUGUGAGCCACAAGAAAUUCUAGCUCUGGAGGCGGAUGGUGGGAGUGAAGCGGACCAGCCGGCCAUUCCCUGUUGCCUACCUGUGGUGGCUCUGCCCAGUCAUCGGUGUCCACUGUUCAGCAUGCAUUCUUUAUGGACAAUCUUAUUCAAGAAAAUAGUUGCAAAAGAGCAAGACAAAAUUCAAAUGAUGUACACUUGAACACUUGCCUACAGAGGUGACAGUUGCCCCAAAAAGUUUGCUGUAAAGUUUGGAGGAGGAAGACACUUCCUGUCUUGAAAUAUAAAUAUGAGUAUCAAAAA